rnacentral:rRNA from 1 species
GGCCGUCCCGUCGCUUGGUGGCCUCGAGUUGACUGUAUGGUUUCGGUAGCGGGGGAGGACUCAGGGUUGACGAGGUGGACUGGAGGGAGGAGAUUAGAGAGUAGUACAGCUGCCGUCGACGUAGGGCCGGGUCGCCGGGGCAGGAAGACUCGGGGAAAGGGUUGAUGGUUAGGCGGAGCGAGAGGGCAGAGUUCGAGAGGCGGCGGCCGAGCGGCCAGUUCAGGCAGUCUCAGAGCAGAGCGGGGAGGAGGGGGUGGCGACGGGGGUUCUAGGCAGCGAGCACGUACACGAGGGGCUGCUUGGUGGGCCCGAGCAAGGCGACGUCGGAGGUGUUCCUCGCGUUCGUCCUCCGGGGCCGGCGGCCGUCGUAGUCGUCCGGGCAGAGGGGCGGAAGCGGCGGCAGGUUCCCGUGCCGCUCGGGCAAGCGCGUCGAGCAGGGGUCGCCGUCGCCGACGCGAUUUGCGAGCAUGUCGCCCGACCGCGUCGCGCAGGGGUAACCCUCGCCCGUGACCCGUGCGUUCCGCGAGCACGGCAGGGGGCGCCGCGUCGUCGACGUCGUGGCCUUCGCUCACCACCUCGCCAAGGUGCGGCCCGGGUCGGCCGAGAGGCGGCGGAGGUACCAGCCGGCGCCGUUGGUCAUUUUUUUGUUGAAGCAGCUGUACGGUAUCGUCGUUUCUAUGCAUGUAUGACGUGUUUUUGACAUGUAUCCUUUCUUCAAGGGGCUUAUUAGGGCAAGCGACAUACGUCUUCUAGCCACCCCUAGUCCGGCGGCCUGUACGGUAUCCUCGCUCUAUGCAUAUAUGACUUGUAUGACAUGUAUCCUUUCUUCAAGGGGCUUAUUAGGGCAAGCGACAUAUCUUCCUUCUAGCCACCCCUAGUCAACCUCAAAAUUCUGGGUUAAGCUAAGGCCCGACCAGUUAAUCGAUCGGUCAUCUAUGACAUGUAUGUCACUCGGAGUAGAAGGAGUGACGAGGCGACGUGUAUCUCACUCAAGCAGCAGAGACGAGGUGAACAUUAUAUCUCACUCGAGAGCAGGAGAGACGGGCAACACAUAUCGGGAACUAAAACCAAGACCUAUAUGUAGUUAUGUAGUACUCACUCUUUAACCUCUGUGCGUAUGUACGUAGACUAGACAACUGCCCUCCUAAUAGGUAGGUACCUAGUACCUACUAAACGGCGUUGUUGAAACACGAAGACAAAGACAAAGACCUCACACCUACACAGAGCGGGGACAAAGCCAGAACCUAUUCGAGGCCUUUCCUAGUCACCGCAGAGCGGCAGCGAACGCGGGCAGUGCGCCGUGGGCACGCACGGGGGUCGGCCGGUCUAGUCCGGUCGUUGAACGUCGCGCCGCCUUUAGGAGGCUAAGGCUGCUCUAUAGACACCUCAAAGUACUGCGCGCGUCGACUACCUGGCUCCUAAAAAGAAGAAGAAAGGGAUGAACACUUCAUUUUAUAACAAAACUAGUCCGGUCGUUAAACGUCGUGUGCUCUCUUUAG